rnacentral:tRNA from 1 species
AUUAGCUCAGCUGGGAGAGCGCCUGCCUUACAAGCAGGAGGUCAGUGGUUCAAGCCCACUAU